CUGUACUGGGGCAUAUAAAGUUUGCAAGACCAAGGGGCCUCUCUUCCCAAUGAUGGCCGACUAGGCCAUCUUCUGCUACAUAUGCAGCUAGAGAUACGAGCUCUGGGGGUACUGGUUAGUUCAUAUUGUUGUUCCACCUAUAGGGUUGCAGACCCCUUUAGCUCCUUGGUGCUAGGGCUGUGAUCUUCUGCAUCCUGUCAGCAAUGCCUGGGUACAUGGUGGUACCACCAGACAGCACUGUAUUGGCAUACAGGUUUCUGUGGAUGUCCACAUCACACUUCAUGAUGGAGUUAAAGGUGGUCUUGUGGAUGCCACAGGACUCCAUGCCCAGGAAGGAAGGCUGGAAGAGUGCCUCCAAACACCGGAACCGCUCAUUGCCAAUGGCAAUCAUCUGUCUAUCGGGCAGCUCAUAACUUUUCUGCAAGGAGGAAGAUGAUGCAGCAGUAGCCAUUUCUUGCUCAAAAUCCAGGUCAACAUAACACAGCUUCUCCUUUAUGUCGUGAACAAUUUCCCUCUCAGCGGUGGUGGUAAAGCUGUAGCCCGGUUCAGUCAGGAUCUUCAUGAGGUAGUCUGUCAGGUCCAGGCCAGCCAGGUUCAGACACAAGAUGCCCUCAUAGAUGGGCACUGUGUGUGACCCCCGCCACCAGAGUCCAUAGCAAUGCCAGUGGUGCGCCCAGAUGCAUACAAGGACAGCACCGCCUGAAUGGCCACGUAUAUGGCUGGGGUAUUGAAGGUUUCAAACAUUAUCUGCGUCAUCUUCUCUCUGUUAGCUUUGGGGCUCAGGGGGGCCUCGGUCAGAAGCACCAAGUGCUCUUCAGGGGCCACACGAAGCUCAUUGUAGAAGGUGUGGUGCCAGUUCUUCCCCAUGUCAUCCCAGUUGGUGACAAUGCCGUGCUUGAUAGGGUACUUCAGGGUCAGGAUACCCCUCUUGCUCUGGGUCUCAUCAUCCAUGUAGAAGUCUCUCUGGCCCAUGCCCACCAUGACGCCCUGGUAUCAGGGGCGCUCUAUGAAGUAAGGGAACAUGGUCCUGGGGGCGUGGUCGCCAGCAAAGCCAGCUUUGUACGUGCCGGAGCCAUUGUCAGUGAGGAAUGUAGCGAUUUAUUCUUCCAUUGCCAUCAGCGAAGGACAGGGCGAUGGAGCCGCGGAAAGAAGAGCAUUUGACCCUGGACUUAAAAGGUUGUCAUCCAUUCCACAACAGAGUAUUAGUGAUAUUUGAAGAGCAUAACUCUGACACUUGACAUUAAAUAUGAGAAGUAUUGAGGCCAAACACAAAGGAACAGGUCAGUCAUCCUUAUUAAAGAAAAUGUGUUAUUAAAGUGGAUCUUACCUGUUUUGCCUUGUUUCUGCCUUUGUGGCAUAUAUACUCCAUUAACCUCUCUAGUUUCCCCACCUGUCUCUCUGAGG
rnacentral:lncRNA from 1 species